UACGAAGGGGGCUAGCGUUGCUCGGAAUCACUGGGCGUAAAGGGUGCGUAGGCGGGUUUUUAAGUCAGGGGUGAAAUCCUGGAGCUCAACUCCAGAACUGCUUUUGAUACUGAAGAUCUUGAGUCCGGGAGAGGUGAGUGGAACUGCGAGUGUAGAGGUGAAAUUCGUAGAUAUUCGCAAGAACACCAGUGGCGAAGGCGGCUCACUGGCCCGGUACUGACGCUGAGGCACGAAAGCGUGGGGAGCAAACAGG
rnacentral:rRNA from 1 species